GUGGGGAAUAUUGGACAAUGGGCGCAAGCCUGAUCCAGCCAUGCCGCGUGCAGGAUGAAGGCCUUCGGGUUGUAAACUGCUUUUGUACGGAACGAAAAGACUUCUUCUAAUACAGGAGGUCCAUGACGGUACCGUAAGAAUAAGCACCGGCUAACUACGUGCCAGCAGCCGCGGUAAUACGUAGGGUGCAAGCGUUAAUCGGAAUUACUGGGCGUAAAGCGUGCGCAGGCGGUUAUAUAAGACAGAUGUGAAAUCCCCGGGCUCAACCUGGGAACUGCAUUUGUGACUGUAUAGCUAGAGUACGGUAGAGGGGGAUGGAAUUCCGCGUGUAGCAGUGAAAUGCGUAGAUAUGCGGAGGAACACCGAUGGCGAAGGCAAUCCCCUGGACCUGUACUGACGCUCAUGCACGAAAGCGUGGGGAGCAAACAGGAUUAGAUACCCUUGUAGUCC
rnacentral:rRNA from 1 species